CUUUGGCUUUGUUUCUGACUACGUUUUCUUUUUAUCCUUAUCUGUUCUGGUUGUUGGCUUACUGUUUACUGUGUACCAGACCCCGGCUUGUCCUAGUUUACGCUGUCUCUCUGUGCCCUUGACUUCGGAUCGUUCCUGACUCUGCCUCCUCUCAUAUACGUCGAGUCCGGCUAUUCUAAGGUCCGGUAGACGUAUCUCUCCUCUGUGUUGUCUCUGUUUAGCUGAAUCCUGCGUGUUGGGGUAUAUUCACGUUACACCCACAGGGUUUUACAGAACAACCAAUAACACGUACAAUACACUCAGACACUCCCACACAAAAU